AUCAUCAGUGGCCCCUGAUACAAACACACACAUCCAUCAGCAGUUGAUCCUGAUACAAACACACACUGCACACUAACUGAUCCAUUGGAAACUUGAGGAAAGUAUCUCAAUUGUCCUGUUUCAUGUGCUAGGUUAUAGUAUCCUAAUCUCAUUAUAUUGAGAUUGAAAGAUUGCAACACAAGUUUCUGCAAGAGAACCAUUAGUAAAAGUUGAGGAGUAAAAGAGAAGUUAAAGGAAACUUAAAAAUACCCUAGUGUAGUGUCCUGAAACAUCUGCUAGACAGUAAAUCUAUUGUUUAAAUGUAUGAUUACUAGUAAUUUGAAACUAGCCAAUCUAA